ensembl:miRNA
CUCCUCAUGGGAGUUUGGGGUGGUUGCUGGAGGUCAGCACCCUGUGGCUCCCACAG